GAUGAACGCUGGCGGCGUGCCUAAUACAUGCAAGUCGAGCGAACAGACGAUGAGCUUGCUCCUCUGACGUUAGCGGCGGACGGGUGAGUAACACGUGGAUAACCUUCCUAUAAUACUGGGAUAACUUCGGGAAACCGGAGCUAAUACCGGAUAAUAUAUUGAACCGCAUGGUUCAAUAGUGAAAGACGGUUUUGCUGUCACUUAUAGCUGGAUCCGCGCCGCAUUAGCUAGUUGGUAAGGUAACGGCUUACCAAGGCAACGAUGCGUAGCCGACCUGAGAGGGUGAUCGGCCACACUGGAACUGAGACACGGUCCAGACUCCUACGGGAGGCAGCAGUAGGGAAUCUUCGGCAAUGGGCGAAAGCUUGACGGAGCAACGCCGCGUGAGUGAUGAAGGUCUUCGGAUCGUAAAACUCUGUUAUUAGGGAAGAACAAAUGUGUAAGUAACUAUGCACGUCUUGACGGUACCUAAUCAGAAAGCCACGGCUAACUACGUG
rnacentral:rRNA from 1 species